UACGGGGGGAGCAAGCGUUGUUCGGAUUUACUGGGCGUAAAGGGCGUGUAGGCGGCCACGACAAGUCACUUGUGAAAUCUCCGGGCUUAACUCGGAACGGUCAAGUGAUACUGUCGGGCUAGAGUGCAGAAGGGGCAACUGGAAUUCUCGGUGUAGCGGUGAAAUGCGUAGAUAUCGAGAGGAACACCUGCGGCGAAGGCGGGUUGCUGGGCUGACACUGACGCUGAGGCGCGAAAGCUAGGGGGAGCGAACGGG
rnacentral:rRNA from 1 species